GCUGGUGCCACCACCAGCCUCUUUGACACAGGGAGGCAGACGGAUUCUGACACAGCCACCCGGCGCUGAUGGCCAAGAGCCCGCUACAACACCCCGCUGCACCACUGCAAAUGUACAGAUCUCGGCGCUGACCAGCGGCAGAAACACACAAAUUCAGCCCGUCCAGCCUUGUUUCCCAUCCGCGAGCAGUCCCCAGGUUGGGAAAAGCUGGGAAUCCCACCAGAUGGAAAUCUUGACUGUCUGUCAUCUGCUGUGAAGAGCUGGCAGGGUGGCAGGAAGGUUCAGCUGGAGCUGGCUUGGCCAUCUGCACUAGAUUCAGUUUGCCAGAAAAGCACAUCUAACAGUCCACUGAGAGCUGUGUUCAGGCAAACAUGCACACCAACAAGUACAGAAACUAUCUGUGACUCCAGCAGAGAUGGAUAGAUUUUGGAUGUGGCAAAUAGUCUCUGCUGCCCUGUGCCUGUCUGCCCAUCUACAGAGUUUUGUUCUUUUUCUAUAAUGCUCCACUCACACAUGUGUUUUGGCAGCAUAUAAAUCUAGUUCAGUGUCUUUAAAUUCACAACUUCUUUUCCUUGGGUUUUGUAAGGUGUGUCAGAAAAAACAUGUAUGAAUCUAAUCCUCUGCUUUUCUGUCAAAGAGGAACAAAGUAUGUUGAAUGCAGUGCAAAUAGGAGAUUUUGUUGCUAUCAGAUUUUUAUUGCUGUUCUCACUGAGCGUGAUUUAUACAGGAAUUUAAUUAGCCCACAGGAUCAUAAAUAUAAUCAUAAUGAUGCUUUCAGGUUUUGUGGAAAGCACUUUUGCCCUUUAGCACUUCUCUGCCUUGUUCUAGCUGUGACAUGCUGCAUUUAAUAAAGUCUUGCUGAUUCAGAUAACCGACCCUUCAGCACAAACCUCCUUACUAAUUAAGAGCUGAAGAGGCAAGGAGUGAAGGCAGCCAAGGGCUGCCAAGGUAAAUACAUUUCGGUUGAUGAGCAGUGAAGAACCAGUGAAUUAAUAUUUGGGGUUUCCUUACUGAAAUCCAAUAUUAGGACUGUCAGCAGGCUUAGUUAUUGCCUUCUGAUCUGUUCUUAACUUUUGGUAUUACUCAGAAAAUGCGCAUCAGACUUGACAUAAACUUUAGAUGUAACAAAUCUGGAUCAAUUUUUCAAAAUCAGCAGUGUCUGAGUUGUGAGGUGCCCUUUUCUGGAGAGGGGUCAAAGAUGGUGGAGACAGUGUGCAUGUGGGAGGAGACACUGAGGGCACAUGAGAAGGAAUGAGUUCAGUUUGCAAAUCCACAGUUGCUCUAAAGGAGAUAUGGGCAUACAUAUGCCAGCAUUCACCUGCAAGGAACACAUAGGGCAAACAGUCUGGGACACAGAGAUGGACUUUCUUCUCAGCUUCUCAGCUUUGAUUUGGUAUUGUCCAAUACUGAACUCUGACAAAUGGCAUUCCUCCCUCAAAAAUGCCUUUUUUCCUUUUCUCGUCUGCUGCAACUGAGGUGGGGGUAGGUAAAAUCAGACAAUGUACUUAACUCUCCUACCACUUUAGAAUUUUAAGUGUUCAAACAUUACUCCAGAUCCAAACCAUCCCAGAUCUCUGCUUUAAGAACAAAAUCGACAUGAGGAGCUACUGAAAAUCAAGACACAAGCAUUUCUUAUUUUGUUACCUGUCCAUUAGUUUUAUAACAAUAAAAUCAUUAGCCAACAGAUUCUGUACAAUAGUAAAACCUACACCUAUCAGAGGUUAUAAAUGCCAUCAUCUAAUACAACUAGUGCAAUCUCCUGAGGACAUGGAUAACUCAAAUGCUACAACCAGCAAGUCUCAUUACUGAAGUCCACAGUGCUACCAGAGAAUUUCUGGAAGGGGAAUGUGACUUAAAAGCAGAGCUACAUUGUUUUCAGUGCCAUCCAGAAUCCCCCUCAGCCCCAGUACAGGCCAGUGGUCCUCACCUUGACACAGGUGUCACGUAGUUGCCGGGGAAGACACCGGACAUGCCGCUCCUCAGAGACGUGCCCUUGAACCAGCCGUCCUGGCACUUCUCAAUGACCCGGUACAUCUCCCCUUUGCGCAGCUCCAGCUCGUCGUUCUUCUGAGGCUUGUAGGCAUACAGGGCUAGGUAGCUGUGGGGACAGGUCACACAGGGACAAAGCACACAGAUGACAUCAACCACCACCUGUCCUGCUCCAACUCCAGCCCCACAGAGCAGAAAGUGCUGUUCAGAAGUUGUAGUUAAAAAGGGACAUCAUUACAGGCUGCUUCACAAACAAGGAAGGGCAGACUGGAUUCUAAGACAAUAAGGGAAUAACUAAUCAGAGUUAAAAGUAAUUUAGAAGUUGAUGAGACAUGCUUCUCACUCAGGGCAUAACCAAAGUGCCACAAAGCAGCACUGAAGUGAAGGACAUAGCAAAGGUUUCAGAAAAACAUGGCAAUUACAGUGACAGCCAGAGUAACAAGGGCUCGAGUAAGAGGGCUUUGCAAAUCCUGACAUCUGAAAGAAGUAUACAUUCAUAUGCUUCAGGAUGGGAUCCACCUCUUUUGUGGAGUUUAAGAAGAAAAUUUUCUUGUGGGUAGGCUAUUUCAAAAGCUAUUUGUGCUGGCCAAGUUUAGAAACAACACACCAAAUUGUUCUGAUCUGGUAUGGUAAUUCUUGUACUAUGUUGGUAAAACAAAAAGUGAGAAAGGGCCACAUUCCGCAGGGGGGGUUUUACUUAAGUAAGUGAAGGGGUAGAAUUUGGUUUUGGAUGUUUUGCAUGCAAGUAUUUAAUAAAUCUUUAAUACAG